UACGUAGGGUGCAAGCGUUGUCCGGAAUUAUUGGGCGUAAAGAGCUCGUAGGCGGUCUGUUGCGUCGGCUGUGAAAACCCGGGGCUCAACCCCGGGCCUGCAGCCGAUACGGGCAGACUAGAGUUCGGCAGGGGAGACUGGAAUUCCUGGUGUAGCGGUGAAAUGCGUAGAUAUCUGGAGGAACACCGGUGGCGAAGGCGGCAUCCUGGACCGGUAUUGACGCUGAGGAGCGAAAGCCAGGGGAGCAAACAGG
rnacentral:rRNA from 1 species